GCCGCGCCCGCAGAGCCUCAUGGGAAAUGUAGUCCGUCCCCUCAAGCCAGCCCCCUCUCUGGGAAACGGAACUUUCCUCAGGAAAGUGGAAAUUUCCUUAGGAAAAGGCGUUCUUUGAUGUUUGGUCUUUGUGUGCUUUCAGGCCUAAUCGACAGGAAGGGAGAUUUUUGUUCGUGUAACAGAAACUAGCCACCAAGCUCAAAGGGAUGACCAGGCCUUUGAAAGGAGCAGCGAGUGCCAGUGGCCAGGAGGAGCAGCCAGCAGAGAGAGUGACCCUGAACAAGACAUGGAGUCCCCUGGGUUGCCUGACCCUGACUGUUUAGGGGGCUGCUCCAAGGCCUCAUGAGUUGAUUGGUGUAGCAUGUAGCCAAGCAAAUACUCCUACAUAACCUUAGGCCUGCUGUUUUUGCCAUUUAUGCCUUCUUUCAUGACCAUCUGACUGUGUUUUUGCUAACGAAGCUUGCACCUUUAACAGGGGCACAGCAAUGUGCCAAAGAUCAAACUGUGUGUCUGCAACAUCAGCCUCAUUACUCAAGCUACACCACAGUUGUGGAAGCCCCACUACUUUUGAGAUGACCAGGAUACAACUCUUCAUAUUUAAGGGAUUUGUCCUUGCUGAAAUUGAGAAAGAGUGUCUCUGCUGCAAGGUCCUGCUCUGAGCAGGGGGAAAGGCAGAAGAGGAGUGGAGAAACCUUACACUUCAGUAACAUUUCAUGAAGCCACCUUGUAAAGAGCAGUACUCCUAGAGGGAAAUAUAGCACAAGGACUGCUGGACAAGCAUCAUACCCUCAGGAACAUCACCCUCUGCAGCCUUGGACAUUGGCAUGUUUUUACCAGAGAGACCCAGUGUUUGCCUGAAGAAUGACGUAGUUUCUCCAUUUGUUUGGCUGCUGCAGUGACCCUUUGGCCUUUACAAGGACAGGUUUGUGUUUUACUGAAGAUUAUUCACAGCCACAUGUUGGGCCCUGUCGUCUGCUGAAUUGGGAUAUGAUGUCUGUAAAGCUGGUGUGAAAAUGAAUCUCUGACUGCAGGAGAGAAACCGCCAAUGCCUUUGUAUCUCACAGAAGAUUACCUGUUUAUUUUGUGAAAUAUCUACCCUCUCUAUACAAAAUAAAAUGUGCAGCACAGAAAAGGGCAUGAAGACUCAAUCUGCUUCUGUAAGAUUGGAAGGCAGCCGCCCCAUUGGCAGAGUGGGCACUGUGCAAGCACCUGAGUAACUCAGAACAGCUCCCUGCAGGCUCAGCUAAGCAGCACCUCUGCUGUGAAGGUAUUUUGCUUUCUGCCAGGAGCAGUGAAUGAACCACUCCAGCUGAGCUGUGAAU